UGGUCCGGAUUUACUGGGUGUAAAGGGCGCGUAGGCGGAUUGUCAAGUCAGUCGUGAAAUACCGGGGCUAACCCCGGGGCUGCGAUUGAAACUGACAGCCUUGAGUAUCGGAGAGGAAAGCGGAAUUCCUAGUGUAGCGGUGAAAUGCGUAGAUAUUAGGAGGAACACCAGUGGCGAAGGCGGCUUUCUGGACGACAACUGACGCUGAGGCGCGAAAGUGUGGGGAGCAAACAGGAUUAGAUACCCUGGUAGUCCACACCGUAAACGAUGGAUACUAGGUGUAGGAGGUAUCGACCCCU
rnacentral:rRNA from 1 species